GAGAGGCACAGGCUCAUACAUGUCCCCUCCUGGGUGUGGAUGUGCAGCCAGGAGAGAAAUUGCUGAGUCACAGGGCGUGUGCCUGCGAGAGCUGACAAUACCUGAGAGAUUUUCAGAAUAGGAGGCUCUGUGCUGACCCGAGUACAUCUCGGAUUUGUUAAUGUUGAGCUUCCUUCAUGGGACCAACCCCCCUCCUUUCCAUUUCCCUAGCUUCAUUCAGUAUCAAGGACUUCAUUCAGUUUCCCCCCAAAUGUUUAUCACAUGUAGUUUAUUUGGAUAUGUGGGUGGUGCACGAGAGAGCUAUUGCGCAUAGGUGGAGGUCAAAGCCAGUUUUGACAUAUCCGUGGACAGCUAAAAGUGAGUCCACAACAAACAGGCAUCUUUACAGCCAGCUUUCGAAGGACCCAGCGACCAGACACAUCAUCUCGAUAGUGUUUUGCCUGUCUCUUUGCCCAUGCGCAAAUCUCAUUUAAAAAGUCACAUUCUCCCUGCUCCCACUCUCUUCGUUCUUCCCUCUCGAAGAAGCUCCCUCUGUAUUCUCACCCAAUAAAUCUCCCACGUGAGACCU